AUUGCCCCAGUAACGGCGAGUGAAGCGGCAACAGCUCAAAUUUGAAAUCUGGCCCCCCCCGGGGCCCGAGUUGUAAUUUGUAGAGGAAGCUUUGGGCGCGGCACCCACCGAGUCCCCUGGAACGGGGCGCCAUAGAGGGUGAGAGCCCCGUAGGGUGGGAUGCCCAGCCCCUGUAAAGCUCCUUCGACGAGUCGAGUAGUUUGGGAAUGCUGCUCAAAAUGGGAGGUAAAUUUCUUCUAAAGCUAAAUACUGGCCAGAGACCGAUAGCGCACAAGUAGAGUGAUCGAAAGAUGAAAAGCACUUUGAAAAGAGGGUUAAACAGCACGUGAAAUUGUUGAAAGGGAAGCGCUUGUGACCAGACUUGCGCCCGGCUGAUCAGUCCGGUGUUCUUCACCGGUGCACUCUGCCGGGCCCAGGCCAGCAUCGGUUCUCGCGGGGGGAGAAAGGCCCGGGGAACGUAGCUCCUCCGGGAGUGUUAUAGCCCCUGGCGGCAUGCCCUCGCGGGGACCGAGGUUCGCGCAUUCGCAAGGAUGCUGGCGUAAUGGUCAUCAGCGACCCGUCUUGAAACACGGACCAAGGAGUCAAGGUUUUGCGCGAGUGUUUGGGUGUCAAACCCGCACGCGUAAUGAAAGUGAACGUAGGUGAGAGCUUCGGCGCAUCAUCGACCGAUCCUGAUGUAUUCGGAUGGAUUUGAGUAGGAGCGUUAAGCCUUGGACCCGAAAGAUGGUGAACUAUGCUUGGAUAGGGUGAAGCCAGAGGAAACUCUGGUGGAGGCUCGCAGCGGUUCUGACGUGCAAAUCGAUCGUCAAAUCUGAGCAUGGGGCGAAAGACUAAUCGAACCAUCU
rnacentral:rRNA from 1 species